rnacentral:rRNA from 1 species
UUGGAGGGCAAGUCUGGUGCCAGCAGCCGCGGUAAUUCCAGCUCCAAUAGCGUAUAUUAAAGUUGUUGCAGUUAAAAAGCUCGUAGUUGAAUUUCGGGGUUCUACCGUUGGUCGGGCUUUGUCUGUACUGGCGUGUAGAAUUUCUACCUUCUGGGGAACCAUCAUGUUAUUAAUUUAACGUGGUGGGAAACCAGGACCUUUACCUUGAAAAAAUUAGAGUGUUCAAAGCAGGCUUAUGUCUGAAUACAUUAGCAUGGAAUAAUAGAAUAGGACGGUGGUCCUGUUUUGUUGGUUUCUGAAUCACCGUAAUGAUUAAUAGGGAUAGUUGGGGGCAUUAGUAUUCAAUUGUCAGAGGUGAAAUUCUUGGAUUUAUUGAAGACUAACUUCUGCGAAAGCAUUUGCCAAGGAUGUUUUCAUUAAUCAAGAACGAAAGUUAGGGGAUCGAAGACGAUCAGAUACCGUCGUAGUCUUAACCAUAAACUAUGCCGACUGGGGAUCGGACGAUGUUAAUUUUUCUUGACUCGUUCGGCGCCUUACGGGAAAC